rnacentral:rRNA from 1 species
GCGCAUUCCACCGCUACACCAGGAAUUCCAGUCUCCCCUGCAGUACUCAAGUCUGCCCGUAUCGCCCGCACGCCCACAGUUAAGCUGUGAGUUUUCACGAACAACGCGACAAACCACCUACGAGCUCUUUACGCCCAGUAAUUCCGGACAACGCUCGGACCCUACGUAUUACCGCGGCUGCUGGCACGUAGUUGGCCGGUCCUUCUUCUGCACAUACCGUCACUUGCGCUUCGUCUGUGCUGAAAGAGGUUUACAACCCGAAGGCCGUCAUCCCUCACGCGGCGUCGCUGCAUCAGGCUUGCGCCCAUUGUGCAAUAUUCCCCACUGCUGCCUCCCGUAGGAGUCUGGGCCGUAUCUCAGUCCCAGUGUGGCCGGUCACCCUCUCAGGCCGGCUACCCGUCGUCGCCUUGGUAGGCCAUUACCCCACCAACAAGCUGAUAGGCCGCGGGCCCAUCCCACACCGCAAAAGCUUUCCACCACACACCAGGAAGUGCAUGGUCAUAUUCGG